AGUGAACGCUGGCGGCGUGCCUAAUACAUGCAAGUCGAACGGAGUGGCGCACGGGUGAGUAAUAUAUAGCUAAUCUGCCCCUUGCUGGGGGACAAACGUUAGAAAUUACUGCUAAUACCCCAUAGCAAGGGAUGAGACUACAUCGUAUCAGCUAGUCGGUGGGGUAACGGCCUACCGAGGCUAUGACGCGUAACUGGUCUGAGAGGAUGAUCAGUCACAGUGGAACUGAGACACGGUCCAAACACCUACGGGAGGCAGCAGUAGGGAAUAUUGCGCAAUGGGGGAAACCCUGACGCAGCAACGCCGCGUGGAGGAUGACACUUUUCGGAGCGUAAACUCCUUUUGUUAGGGAAGCGGUACCUAACGAAUAAGCACCGGCUAACUCCGUGCCAGCCGCCGCGGUAAUUC
rnacentral:rRNA from 1 species